UCUUACCUGUAGCAGAAUCUCACCUGUCAACAGGAAAAAUUAGUGCAGACAACAUCCACACUCAGACAGAUGAGAGAGCAGCUCCAUGUGCACAUCAGAGCUCAUCCGACACAGAGAUGAAGAAGAUGAAUGAGCUGGAACCUUCUCAGAGUCUGGAGGCGGACAGAUCUGAGGAUGUUUUUGGCAACUUCACAUGAGAUUCUUCAAUCAGAUGAGAUAGUGUUGGCCUAGGAUCUGAAGUGUGAGUUUCAUCUUUCUUCACCCAUGUAAGAGCAUCUCACACACCACACCGAGAUGACUGAUGCCGCUUUAGUGCGACAGGACUUUCAUCAUCGCUGUCUUCUGCUCCUCAAACUGACAAGAGCUGGAGUCCACCGCAGUGCAGAUGUGUUUGUUUAUUCGUCAGCUGUUCACUAGAGGAUGACCGUAUAGACAGAUUACUCGCCGAUCAGACCCCAGAGUUCACAACCUAAUCACCCUCAGGUCAUCCAAGAUCAAGAUGAAUUUGUUUCUUCAUCCGAUUUGGAGAAAUGUAG